AUGAAGUGUGUAUCGUCUGUGAGAUUUACAAUCAAAGUAAAUGGAGAGCUAUUACCUUAUUUCUCUCCUACCAGGGGUUUAAGGAAAGGUGACCCUUGGUCGCCGUACCUUUUUCUCAUAUGUGCACAAGGCCUAACCUCACUCCUAAACAGCUAUGGAGGGGCUUAUAUUGAUAGAGGCAUACGGGUAAGUGUUCAUGCACCAUGGGUUAAUCAUCUACUCUUUGCUGACGACAGUCUCAUCUUCCUCAAUGCUAAGACCCAAAGUGCAGAACGGCUAAAUGAAGUUCUCCGGAUCUAUGCUGAGUGCUCGGGCCAAGCCGUGAACCGGGAGAAGAGCUCUAUCUUCUUUAGUGCAAAUACAGGACAAUCACUUAGAGAAGAAUUAAAAACUUCUCUUGGAAUUUCCAAGGAAGCGUUUUCAGAACGCUACCUAGGAUUACCAACCGCUGUUGGAAGAAUAACCAGCGGCACCUUCUCUCAUAUUGUGGAGCGUGUGCGCGGCAAGAUC
rnacentral:rRNA from 1 species